UCCCUGGGGGUCCAGUGACUAAGACUCUGGAAGCUCCCAAUCCAGAGGACCCAGGUUCAAUUCCUGGUCAGGAAA
rnacentral:tRNA from 1 species